rnacentral:sRNA from 1 species
AGCCGAGCGCCGGUGUGAGCCCGCGCUGCUGCCAGUGUGAGCGGCGGUGUGAGCGCGGUGGGUGCGGAGGGGCGUGUGUGCCGGCGCGGGCGCCGUGGGGUGCAAACCCCGAGCGUCUACGCUGCCAUGAGGGGCGCGAACGCCUGGGCGCCAGUCUGCCUGCUGCUGGCUGCCGCCACCCAGCUCUCGCGGCAGCAGUCCCCAGAGAGACCUGUUUUCACAUGUGGUGGCAUUCUUACUGGAGAGUCUGGAUUUAUUGGCAGUGAAGGUUUUCCUGGAGUGUACCCUCCAAAUAGCAAAUGUACUUGGAAAAUCACAGAAAAAACUGUUUUAUGAUUGAAAAACUCUGACCUGAACUGGGUCUGAAAUAUCAAGGAACUACCAGGACCCUGGCCUGAAACUUGUGGCCAAGUGAGAAAUGAUAAAAGCAGAACUGUUCUAUAUGGCAUUCGAAGACUCUCAAUUUUAAGAAUCAGCUUCUCCUUGAAUUGAAAAACCACAGCAUAAGUGCUUCUCAUCAACAUCAGCCAUCUCUUCAGACAGCUGAGGGCUUUGAGGAAAAGGUGCUUGGUGAAACUUGGGUAUUCUCAUUUUAUGAAUAACCCUAAGCUUUGCAGUAUACCAGGUCGCCAUGCAGGAAGUACCAGGCAUGUUUGAACGUAAUUACCCCCACCCUGCUAUAACUUUCAAGCCAUCUGUGCCAGUUUCACGCAGUCUGGACUAGUAAGUUCUUUCUGAGACGCUCCCCAGUCUUCUUUUCCUUGUCUACUAGUGUCUUGUUUUUAUGAUUUUUUUUUCUUAAAUGUGUCGUUGUCACAGAACAUUUAAUUUAAAUGCCACACCAUCUGAGCAAAAUGAUUCAAUGUCUUUUCUUCUGCUGACUAAACUCUUCUCCGGGAAUCAUGAGG